rnacentral:rRNA from 1 species
AUUGAACGCUGGCGGCAGGCCUAACACAUGCAAGUCGAACGGUAGCACAGAGAGCUUGCUCUCGGGUGACGAGUGGCGGACGGGUGAGUAAUGUCUGGGAAACUGCCUGAUGGAGGGGGAUAACUACUGGAAACGGUAGCUAAUACCGCAUAAUGUCGCAAGACCAAAGAGGGGGACCUUCGGGCCUCUUGCCAUCGGAUGUGCCCAGAUGGGAUUAGCUUGUUGGUGAGGUAAAGGCCCACCAAGGCGACGAACCCUAGCUGGUCUGCGAGGAUGACCAGCCACACUGGAACUGAGACACGGGCCAGACUCCUACGGGAGGCAGCAGUGGGGAAUAUUGCACAAUGGGCGAAAGCCUGAUGCAGCCAUGCCGCGUGUAUGAAGAAGGCCUUCGGGUUGCAAAGUACUUUCAGCGGGGAGGAAGGCGGUGGAGUUAAUAACUUCACCGAUUGACGUUACCCGCAGAAGAAGCACCGGCUAACUCCGUGCCAGCCGCCGCGGUAA